rnacentral:rRNA from 1 species
UACGGGGGGGGCAAGCGUUGUUCGGAAUUACUGGGCGUAAAGGGCUCGUAGGCGGCCAACUAAGUCAGACGUGAAAUCCCUCGGCUUAACCGGGGAACUGCGUCUGAUACUGGAUGGCUUGAGUUUGGGAGAGGGAUGCGGAAUUCCAGGUGUAGCGGUGAAAUGCGUAGAUAUCUGGAGGAACACCGGUGGCGAAGGCGGCAUCCUGGACCGGUUCUGACACUGAGGUGCGAAAGCGUGGGGAGCAAACAGG